AUGACACCUCCCAAUACGGUACAAUGGAAUGAUGGCUAUGAAUAUAAGAGCAAAAAGCUCUGUAGAGGAGGGAAUGGAGGCCCAGAGAAGACUUGUCCAAGACUAAAUGGCCAACUGAUGGCAGAGGUCACUUUUGAGAAUUUCUGGAGAGACUUUUCUCAUGGACUCGUUCUGGGUUGGAGCUUUCUGAGCUGGAGAGGCUUGCUUGAUUUAUUCUUGUUUGGGGAUCAAUCCCAAUUUCCAUAUACCACAUCAUCACAGAGCCCAGGCCAAAUUGAAAGAAGGAAUAGAGAUCUUAAGACUAUGACUGGAAAAUUGUGCACUGAGACUCAUUUACAAUGGCCAGAAGUUCUCCUUCUAGUUCUAUUUUAUCUUCUAAGCAGGCCCAGGGGAGAUCUACACAUCUCACCAUUUGAGAGGUUUUUUUGGACAUCCCCCUAAUAUAGGCUAAGCCUUUUUUCUCCUGCAUACACAUCAUUACUUUGGGGGGACACUUCUAUUGCUUCAUAUAUAUACAGGACUUACCGAGCAAAUUGCAAGAACUCCAUGAAUCCAGAGCUGCAGUACAAGCAGGACUUACAGACUUUUCACUUCAUGACCUAAACCCAGGAGACAAGGUAUACGUAAGGAACUUCUAGCACACUGGAGCAACUCAGCGUGCCUGGGAAGGUCUGUUUCAAGUACUGUUAACCACUCACAACAGCUAUCAAAAUUGGAGAGAAAGACUCUUAGAUUCAUUGCUCACACAUAAAACAAGUACCUUCUAUCAACACUGAUUGACUGUAUCCUGUCACAUGCAUUGGAGAUAAAAGUCCAUAGACAAGUGGACACUGUUUUGGCUAACACAUGAAUUUUGUAUUUUUUUCCUUUUAAUUUGCAAUAAGGAUAUUUAAUUUUUUCCCUUUCUUUUUCCUUCUUUCUUGGACUUGAAGUACAUGUAACCAGUGGAUUUUGAAGGAUAAAUUUACAAUAUCCAUUAGCCCUAAUAUCAAUGCAUACCCAAAAGCUUUAGACUAUAAAAAUCUGACAUUAAUUGUUAAAUAUUGUGGGACUGUAAUUAAUAAUUGUGUCUGAUUCCAGGAGAAGGGAUCGCAAAAGAGCCAUUGUACAAUGCAAAGAAUGCUGGGAUCCAUUUUCUAUAUAGCCAUGCCUCAUCAUCUACUACUUCUUCCCUGUUAGGAGAUGGAGUACAAUGAUGGAGUACUGAAUUUGGAAUCAGAUGACUUGGCUUCAAACCCCAGAUCUGCUACUUACUCUAGUAAUUAUCUUGAGCAAAACCUUUGGUCUCCCUGAGGCCUUGGUUUCCUUACUUUUUUAAUGAGGAAAGUGGAUUACAUGAUACUUCAUUUGAAAAGGGGACAUUUCCAAUGGUGCUAUUGAAUCAAAAAUGUAUAUAUGGGAGUUUAAGUUGAGUCAGGGAUCAAUAGAAAUAGAAAUGACCCAUCUGUUUCUUAAGGUAAUGUCUAACUCCAAAUCUACAAGUCUAUAUGAAGUUGAAUAAUUUCUUUGAAUUUCAGUUAAUUCAUCUGCAAAAUGGGGAUACGUUUUAAAUAAUAAUGACCAUGAUGCAGAUGAAUAAGGCAAGAACCUUAAGUCUUAAAAGUCUGUACAAUAUUCUAAAAUGAAUCAACACAUUUUAUGGAAAAGGAGUAGUUUUCUAUUUCUUACUAUGUCUAUUACUAUUACUAUUACUUACACGACAAGCAAGAAUCUUGCCUGUGUGGUCCAAGGCAAGAUUUGCAUACACAUUUGUAGUGCCAUGGUUGGCCCUUCUUUGCCAUAGUCUGUCACUCUAGGCCUAUCCCUCUCUCCCCUGACCCACUUAGAUGCUUCUUGAUUUUUUACUUCCAGCAAUAAGCCCCGAUCUUGCCCUCUCCUUACAUCUCUCCCCUUCACUCUAUGUCUGUAUCCAUAAAGGUAGAUCAGAUAACUACCAGCUGCCUGCCACUGUUUUACUGUUGUACUGUUGGCUCACUCACUGUUCCUAGAGUUCCUCUAAUCCCUGACUAUGGUGUCAACCUUAUCCUUCCCUAUUCAUAGAACUGUUAUGAGGUGAAAAUAGAUGUGAAUGAGUUUUGUUUUUUUUUUUAAACCCUCACCUUCCAUCUUGGAGUUAAUACUGUGUAUUGGUUCCAAGAUAGAAGAGUGGUAAGGGCUAGGCAAUGGGGAUUAAGUGACUUGCCCAGGGUCACACAGCUGGGAAGUAUCUGAGGUCAGAUUUGAACCCAGGACCUCCUGACUCUAGGAUUGGCUCUCUAUCCACUGAACUACCCAGCUGCUCCCCAACAUGAAUAAGUUUUGAAAAAAAUAACACCACUCUUAUUGUCUUCCUCAUACCUCUCUGGAGUUUGGACUCCUGAAGAGUCUUUGAGGAGAGUGCCAACUCUGGGAGGCCCUGUCAACCUAGAAAGGAUUUGACUUAGGGCCCUUACUAGUUUUUGAGAACCAGACUAAUUAGGCACGCAGAGGCUCAUCAUCAGACAACUGACCACCAGAAGAUGAAUUGUUUUGGCUGGAGCAAUUGAGGAAAAGUAUCUUCUGUGGGCAUGGUGAGGCAGUAAUUCACUUCCAUGGGAAAAGGACUGAUGCCAGUGAUCCUUGAAGUACUGAAAUUGGUAUUUUUUUUCCUUUUGAAAACUUUUUUAUCAUGAACUUUUAAAAUACUACAAACUUGGCCAUUUCUAUAUUCAAAGAACAGAAAAAAAUAUGAUUGAUAUCAAAACCAUGAAUCUCUUUGAAGUCUAGCAGUGGUUUUUGCUAAGAACAUAAUAAAUAAGAGAGAAAUGUACUAAAUAAAUAAAUA
ensembl:lncRNA